ACUCCUACGGGAGGCAGCAGUGGGAAUAUUGGACAAUGGGGGAAACCCUGAUCCAGCCAUGCCGCGUGUGUGAAGAAGGCCUUCGGGUUGUAAAGCACUUUCAGUGGGGAGGAAAGGUUGAUGGUUAAUACCUAUCAGCUGUGACGUUACCCACAGAAGAAGCACCGGCUAACUCCGUGCCAGCAGCCGCGGUAAUACGGAGGGUGCAAGCGUUGUCCGGAUUUAUUGGGUUUAAAGGGUGCGUAGGCGGGCUAUUAAGUCAGUGGUGAAAUCCAGCAGCUUAACUGUUGAUGUGCCAUUGAUACUGGUAGUCUUGAGUACAGAUGAGGUAGGCGAAUUGACAGUGUAGCGGUGAAAUGCAUAGAUAUUGUCAAGAACUCCGAUAGCGAAGGCAGCUUACUGGGCUGUAACUGACGCUGAUGCACGAAAGUGUGGGGAUCAAACAGGAUUAGAUA
rnacentral:rRNA from 1 species